AGGGUUUGAUUAUGGCUCAGGAUGAACGCUGGCGGCGUGCAUAACACAUUCAAGUCGAACGGGACAAUGGGGGCUUGCCUCCAUUGUCUAGUGGCGGACGGGUGAGUAACGCGUGAGCAACCUGCCUAUGCGAGGGGGAUAACACAGGGAAACUUGUGCUAAUACCGCAUAACAUAUACUUUUUGCAUGGAAGGUAUAUCAAAGAAAAAAUCGCGCAUAGAUGGGCUCGCGUCUGAUUAGAUAGUUGGUGAGGUAAGGGCUCACCAAGUCGACGAUCAGUAGCCGGACUGAGAGGUUGACCGGCCACAUUGGAACUGAGAAACGGUCCAG
rnacentral:rRNA from 1 species